rnacentral:rRNA from 1 species
UAGGGAAUAUUGCAAAAUGGGCGAAAGCCCGAUGCAGCAACGCCGCGUGGGCGAUGAAGGCCUUCGGGUCGUAAAGCCCUUUUUGAGGGGAUGAGGAAGGACAGUACCCUCAGAAUAAGCCUCGGCUAACUACGUGCCAGCAGCCGCGGUAAAACGUAGGAGGCGAGCGUUAUCCGGAUUUACUGGGCGUAAAGCGCGUGCAGGCGGAUUGGAGAGUUGGAUGUGAAAGCGCCCGGCUUAACUGGGAGAGGUCGUUCAAUACUUCCAGUCUUGAGUGCAGUAGAGGGAAGUGGAAUUCCGGGUGUAGUGGUGAAAUGCGUAGAUAUCCGGAGGAACACCAGUGGCGAAAGCGGCUUCCUGGACUGUAACUGACGCUCAGACGCGAAAGCUAGGGUAGCAAACG